rnacentral:tRNA from 1 species
GCCGGGGUCGCCUAGCCUGGGAGGGCGCAAGCCUGGAAAGCCUGUGACCGUAUGGUCCCGAGGGUUCAAAUCCCUCUCCCGGCG